AUCCCGGGUGCCUGUGGUCGGCUG
rnacentral:miRNA from 1 species